rnacentral:rRNA from 1 species
AGUGAACGCUGGCGGUAGGCCUAACACAUGCAAGUCGAACGGCAGCACAGUAAGAGCUUGCUCUUACGGGUGGCGAGUGGCGGACGGGUGAGGAAUACAUCGGAAUCUACUUUUUCGUGGGGGAUAACGUAGGGAAACUUACGCUAAUACCGCAUACGACCUACGGGUGAAAGCAGGGGAUCUUCGGACCUUGCGCGAUUGAAUGAGCCGAUGUCGGAUUAGCUAGUUGGCGGGGUAAAGGCCCACCAAGGCGACGAUCCGUAGCUGGUCUGAGAGGAUGAUCAGCCACACUGGAAGGGAGACACGGUCCAGACUCCUACGAGAGGCAGCAGUGGGGAAUAUUGGACAAUGGGCGCAAGCCUGAUCCAGCCAUACCGCGUGGGUGAAGAAGGCCUUCGGGUUGUAAAGCCCUUUUGUUGGGAAAGAAAAGCAGCAGGUUAAUACCCCGCUGUUCUGACGGUACCCAAAGAAUAAGCACCGGCUAACUUCGUG